rnacentral:piRNA from 1 species
UUACUUUUCCGCUGUUUUCAA